rnacentral:rRNA from 1 species
UCUUCCCUCUGGCGGCGUGCUUAACACAUGCAAGUCGAACGGUGAAGGCGGAGCUUGCUCUGCUGGAUCAGUGGCGAACGGGUGAGUAACACGUGAGCAAUCUGCCCCUGACUCUGGGAUAAGCGCUGGAAACGGCGUCUAAUACUGGAUACGAGCUGCGAAGGCAUCUUCAGCAGCUGGAAAGAAUUUCGGUCAGGGAUGAGCUCGCGGCCUAUCAGCUUGUUGGUGAGGUAGUGGCUCACCAAGGCGUCGACGGGUAGCCGGCCUGAGAGGGUGACCGGCCACACUGGGACUGAGACACGGCCCAGACUACUACGGGAGGCAGCAGUGGGGAAUAUUGCACAAUGGGCGAAAGCCUGAUGCAGCAACGCCGCGUGAGGGACGACGGCCUUCGGGUUGUAAACCUCUUUUAGCAGGGAAGAAGCGAAAGUGACGGUACCUGCAGAAAAAGCGCCGGCUAACUACGUG